ACUCAGCAAGGGUUUAGGAAGGAGAAAAACAGAAGUUCUUUUCCAUUGAAUUCAUACAGCUGGAAGAAGAAAAGAGAUUGCAUCUACUCCCUGAACUUCUAUUUUCCUGAAAUUGCUUCUUCAACAAUUGUGUUUCAUGAAAAUCGUCACCUAUCAUCUUCAAAAACGCAACCUGGAAAAGGAACUGGUCUGCAAAAGGAAAACUAAUGGGGCUGGCGCUGUGACACACUAGCUUAAGCCCCCGCCUAUGGCGAUGGCAUACCAUAUGGCUGCUGGUUCGUGUCCCAGUUGCUCCUCUUCUGAUCCAGCUCCCUGCUAAUGGCCUGGGAAAGCAGUGGAAGAUGGCCCAAGUGCUUGGGCCCCUGCACCUAUGUAGGAGACCCAGAAGACGCUCCUGGCUUCUGGCUUUGGAUCAACCCAGCUCUGGCUGUUGUGGCAAUUUUAGGAGUGAACCAGCAGAUGGAAGACCUUUCUCUCUGUCUCCCCCUCUAUCUAUCUAUAACUCUGCCUCUCAAAUAAAUAAAAUCUUUUUUUAAAAAAAAGAAAAACCAACUUAGGGGACUGGUGUUUGGUGCAGUGAUUAAGAUGUCACUUGUGAUGCCACAUCCCAUAUCUGAGUUCUUUGGCUGAAGUCGUUUUUCUCCACCUCAAUUUCACCUUUCUGUUAAUGUGCACAUUGGAAGGCAGCAGGUGAUGACCCUAGUAGUUGGGUACCUCUCACCGAUGUGAGAGACUAAUAAUGGGUUCUGAGCUCCUGGUGUUGGCGUGGCCUAGCCCCAGAAGUUAUGGGCAUUUGGGGAAUAAAUCAACAGAUGGAAGAUUACUCUUGUCUGUCUAUCUUUUCAAAUAAUUUUUUAAAGCCUCAUUUAACAAUAAUAAAAAAAGAAGCCAACUAUGAUUGCCAAUCUCUGCGACCUUGUCACAGAUUAAUAGGGGCUACCUAAUUGCCUUGAAAAUUUGGCAAGAAUAGUCUCACUAAAAUAUCAGGGUCUUCCAAACAUUCAUGGAAAAAUGCAUAUCAUGAAAAAAAAACUGUGCAAUAAUUUCAAAAUUUUUGCAUAAAAAUAAAGUUAUCUUUUAAUUCUAUUUUUCUACAAGCUUUUUGACAUGCCCUCGUAUAAGCUAUGCCACCUUUUCUGAUGCAGCCAUUUAUAUGCCCUUUUGGGCUAAUUCACUAAUUCAAUCACAAAUGUUCAUUGAGCAGCUAUGGUACACACCAGGCAAUGUUAUAAGCACUGGAGUACUUCACUGGACAAGAUAAAUAAGAUCCCUGUUCUUAAUGAAGCACAUGGACAUUCAGGAGGGAGGGCAAAUUACACUGGGUAACUAACUAAGUCAGAACUUCAAAUGGCUAUCUUUGUUAAAAAUAGAGUAAGGCAAUAGAAUGAAGAUCAGCAGGGCAGAGAGGGAUAUAUUCAGAUGAGAGCUUCAGGGAAGGCCUCCCUGAGGAGCUGACAAGCUAGGGAAAACUGAACAGUA